ACUGCGCUUGUCGCUUCGGUUGUAUUUUAAUUCGAUUAAACUGUGAAAACACACGUUGUAAGGUUUUUCUUUCAGUUUUGGCUGUUACAGUCCAUCUGACAGUAAAGAAAAAUUGAUAACACGAAACGUCAACACGCGUCAGAAAGCAGUUAUAAAAGUUGGCAACAGUAAAAAAAAAAAAAAAAAAAAAGGAAUAACUUAUUUUCUUGCACCACACCGACAAUGUCACACACCUUUGUCCACAAGCCGCAGUACAUACUAGGCUGAAUAGAAACAACGAAGUUAACAGUACCAGUCGGAGCAGAAACAGCAGCAAUGCAUCCACUGACGUUUCUAGUUUGGGCACGACAAAUAGAAAAUAAAAAACCUCUUCCAGCAACAUCAAAACCACAGGCUGCAGUGAACCAAAAAGGACAACCCGUACAGACACGACACACGGUGCAGCAGAAGUCACCAAAUAAAGCACAAAGUGUAGAAGCAGAAGCUGAGCUGACCGCUUUGGAGAUCCCCAAAAAGAGAAGGUCCACAGGCCAAGUGUCCAUUACCUCAAGUACUGUAGCUGAAAAGUAACAAACCUGGAACUUCAUCUGCUGCUCAAGAAUAAAUUGUUUGACUGAUGUCUGAUGUCAUUUUCUGUUAACGUCUAGAAAAGUGUGUUUAUAUUUGCCAUAAAUGCUUAUGGGACCUGUUGAAUGUGCAAGUUUAUAAAUAAUAAUAAUAAUAAUAAUAAUAAUAAUAAUAAUAAUAAUAAUAAUAAUAAUAAUAAUAAUAAGUGAUACAAGUUAGUUUAUGAAACUGCAUUUGCUCCUGAUUUUCACAUUUCUUAAAGUAGGUGUUUUAAGAAUACAUUUAAUUCUUUUCUGACGUGGAUUAAUUUGUAGUUACGUAUUUUAAAAAUAUAAUUUUAAAACUGUAAAAUGCAAUGCAUAUUUGGAUGCAUUGUGUAAAACAUGCUAUAUAUGAACAAAAAUCUGUGCUUGCAUUUCUUGUUUGUGCACCUGCCACCUUUUGACAUUGGACUCUUGUACAAAUAUACUUGUGGUAUGUGGUAUUUUCUUAGAAAGAAUGCAGUAAAACAUAAACUAUAUUACGCUAAGGAAUCCAUGAUGUAAUGGCUAUGUGGUUGACUCCCAUUAGUUGGUAAGUAAAGUAACAGCCCUAGCUCUCUGUCAGAACUAUGCAUGACCUUCUAAGAAAUCUAUUCUAAAUCUUACUCCUUUCUAUUUAGAUGACUCUUCGACAUUCAUUUUCUUUAGAUUUAUGGUGUCUUUAAAAGCCAUUAUUAUACCAAGACUUGCAAAAGAUAUUCAUUAGCAGGGGUGUGUUAAGAGUAUCAGAACGUCUUUAUUCUUGAACUCUGGCUUGUGUCUACUGCAUGUUGAAAUGCUCAGCUGAAUUUAGACAUGGACUAUACAUUCAUCAACAGUUAUGGUGACUUAUUUGUAUAAUCUAUUCAUCUCCUUUGCGGAGAGUAUGUAGCCUAUAUGCUACAUCAAGUUUGCAAUACGAUGAUAACUGAACAGGUUAAAAAAAAACCCACAAGUUAUGAGCAACCAGAUGGCAAAAGAACGUUCUUAAAGUGCCUCACUUUCUUUUGAACCACUUCCAUUACAAUUUACCCAAUGUCGUAUUUUCAGUGCUAUGGUUUCCAGAUGGUAAAGACUAAACUCUUUUGAGAUAAUAGUUUCAAAUUCAGUACACAGCUGUAUUUUGUGAUUCACUAUUUGUGGGCAUGGUGCCUUUUGUGGCAGGAACUUUACAACUCUUUCUCAGUCACACUGUCUACUUAGUGUGUGACAUUCAAAUGACAAGUAAAAAACGCAAUAUAAAUAUUUUCCACGAUUGUGUAUUUUACACCCGCUUCAUGAAGUUGUACCUGUA